rnacentral:rRNA from 1 species
GACGAACGCUGGCGGCGUGCCUAAUACAUGCAAGUAGAACGCUGAAGAGAGGUGCUUGCUCUUCUUGGAUGAGUUGCGAACGGGUGAGUAACGCGUAGGUAACCUGCCUUGUAGCGGGGGAUAACUAUUGGAAACGAUAGCUAAUACCGCAUAACAAUGGAUGACCCAUGUCAUUUAUUUGAAAGGGGCAAAUGCUCCACUACAAGAUGGACCUGCGUUGUAUUAGCUAGUAGGUGAGGUAACGGCUCACCUAGGCGACGAUACAUAGCCGACCUGAGAGGGUGAUCGGCCACACUGGGACUGAGACACGGCCCAGACUCCUACGGGAGGCAGCAGUAGGGAAUCUUCGGCAAUGGGGGCAACCCUGACCGAGCAACGCCGCGUGAGUGAAGAAGGUUUUCGGAUCGUAAAGCUCUGUUGUAAGUCAAGAACGAGUGUGAGAGUGGAAAGUUCACACUGUGACGGUAGCUUACCAGAAAGGGACGGCUAACUACGUGCCAGCAGCCGCGGUAAUACGUAGGUCCCGAGCGUUGUCCGGAUUUAUUGGGCGUAAAGCGAGCGCAGGCGGUUUGAUAAGUCUGAAGUUAAAGGCUGUGGCUCAACCAUAGUUCGCUUUGGAAACUGUCAAACUUGAGUGCAGAAGGGGAGAGUGGAAUUCCAUGUGUAGCGGUGAAAUGCGUAGAUAUAUGGAGGAACACCGGUGGCGAAAGCGGCUCUCUGGUCUGUAACUGACGCUGAGGCUCGAAAGCGUGGGGAGCGAACAGGAUUAGAUACCCUGGUAGUCCACGCCGUAAACGAUGAGUGCUAGGUGUUGGAUCCUUUCCGGGAUUCAGUGCCGCAGCUAACGCAUUAAGCACUCCGCCUGGGGAGUACGACCGCAAGGUUGAAACUCAAAGGAAUUGACGGGGGCCCGCACAAGCGGUGGAGCAUGUGGUUUAAUUCGAAGCAACGCGAAGAACCUUACCAGGUCUUGACAUCCCGAUGCUAUUUCUAGAGAUAGAAAGUUACUUCGGUACAUCGGUGACAGGUGGUGCAUGGUUGUCGUCAGCUCGUGUCGUGAGAUGUUGGGUUAAGUCCCGCAACGAGCGCAACCCCUAUUGUUAGUUGCCAUCAUUCAGUUGGGCACUCUAGCGAGACUGCCGGUAAUAAACCGGAGGAAGGUGGGGAUGACGUCAAAUCAUCAUGCCCCUUAUGACCUGGGCUACACACGUGCUACAAUGGUUGGUACAACGAGUUGCGAGUCGGUGACGGCAAGCUAAUCUCUUAAAGCCAAUCUCAGUUCGGAUUGUAGGCUGCAACUCGCCUACAUGAAGUCGGAAUCGCUAGUAAUCGCGGAUCAGCACGCCGCGGUGAAUACGUUCCCGGGCCU